rnacentral:rRNA from 1 species
GGAUAACGUUUGGAAACGAAUGCUAAUACCGCAUGAUAUUAUUGAGCUGCAUGGCUUGAUAAUCAAAGGAGCAAUCCGCUGAAAGAUGGGCUCGCGUCCGAUUAGGUAGUUGGCGGGGCAACGGCCCACCAAGCCGACGAUCGGUAGCCGGACUGAGAGGUUGAACGGCCACAUUGGGACUGAGACACGGCCCAGACUCCUACGGGAGGCAGCAGUGAGGGAUAUUGGUCAAUGGGGGAAACCCUGAACCAGCAACGCCGCGUGAGGGAAGACGGUUUUCGGAUUGUAAACCUCUGUCCUCUGUGAAGAUAAUGACGGUAGCAGAGGAGGAAGCUCCGGCUAACUACGUGCCAGCAGCCGCAGUAAUACGUAGGGAGCAAGCGUUGUCCGGAUUUACUGGGUGUAAAGGGUGCGUAGGCGGCUUUGCAAGUCAGAAGUGAAAUCCAUGGGCUUAACCCAUGAACUGCUUUUGAAACUGCAGAGCUUGAGUGGAGUAGAGGUAGGCGGAAUUCCCGGUGUAGCGGUGAAAUGCGUAGAGAUCGGGAGGAACACCAGUGGCGAAGGCGGCCUGCUGGGCUCUAACUGACGCUGAGGCACGAAAGCGUGGGUAGCAAACAGGAUUAGAUACCCUGGUAGUCCACGCUGUAAACGAUGAUUACUAGGUGUGGGUGGACUGACCCCAUCCGUGCCGGAG